rnacentral:lncRNA from 1 species
GAACUCCAGGUGCUGGGUCUUCCAGGAGCGCGCCUGCGCGGGAGGGUGACCACAGGCGGCCGGGCGGGAUGUCCUGUCCGCAGUCUUCAGCCCAGCCGCCGCCACCCAUAAGCUAUGAGGAGGAGUUUACGACCACCUGGACUACUACCACCUGCGUGACUUCCCGGCCUGCGGGGUCCGCGCAGCAAAGGCUUGACGCUGCUGGAGCAGGCGCUGCGCACCUACUGGCUGGCGCCUGGUAGGCACGAGCGCAGGGUCGCCCAGAAGCUCCUCAAUGGCCUGAGCAAGUACCAGCCAGCGCCAGCUGCAGCCCUGGCCGCGCACUCGCCUCAGCUGAGCCUGGAACUUCCGAAUUUCAACAGAUGCCAGUGUUCUCUCCUUUUUUCACAUGGGAAAAUUCCCUUGAAACUCAUUUGAAGCUUGGACAAAAAUUCCACAGCUGUAUUCUUCAGGAUCACUUUGCAGAGUCUUCAAGACUCAGAUACAGAGGAAGCUUCAAUUCAACCUUUCAGAGAAGAUUCCAGCUCGCAUGAUCUCAUCAACCAAGAGAAUGUUGGUGGCAACCAGUGCUGAAAGGGGGAUAAAAAUUAGAUAGCUCAGAUGAUUAGGAGCCCUAAUUCGACUCAACUUCCCACUUCCAACUAAGCUGCACACGUUAACAUCCAAUUAAAUUUCCCCCUUCCCCUCUACACAUCAGAGGGCUAGUUCGGUUUCCAUACUUUCAGCUGAUUACAUUAUUCAUGGGGGAAAAUGAGCAACUAAACAGAAAACACCAAAUGAAGAGUAUGAUGAUUCUCUAACAGUUUAGUUUUCAUUUUCCCAAACUUACCAGGAAUGAAGAAGCUGUUUCUUUACACAAUCGUUAUCCCAUAAUGCCUGCUUCUGCUGCUACCACGGGCUCACCUAAAAGGCAACCAAAGGGAGGAACAGGAAGAGAAGAGUGUGGCCUCCUAGAAAUCUAGCACGGAGAAAGACUGGUCUUGAACUCCUGACCUCGUGAUACUCAGCCUCCCAAAGUGCUGGGAUUACAGGAGUGAACCACCAAGCCCGGCUUGACCUCUUGGCUUUUACCAAAGGAUGUUUGCUUCUGAGGAAGCUGGAAGCUGCAGCCACAAUGUGCCUUUGCAGGGGAGCCUGAGAGCCACAGGUUAACGACAUGGCCACAGAUGAUAGCCUGGCUGCACAAGCUAAACCAAGGAAUGUGAUUUGUGAUUGUUCCUAUUGCCUGCAAGUGCUAUACUCCGUGUAACCAAGAUUUUAUAAGCCGGAAGAGUUAUAAAAUACUUACCUCUGAAAAAAGUCUACUUCCUGUAAAAAUUUUUCACACAUCCCAAAUAAGGGGUAAAGUCUGUAGAAAAGAAACGUAAAAUAAUUUGCUUGUGAAAUCUGCAAACUGAGGUGGACCAAAGUCCCAGAAACCUGAGCCUAAAUUAAAGGAAAAUUAGUAUAUUACACUAUAAAAACGAUCUCUAAAAGUAACAGAAGACUCCUAAUGGACCUGGGGGAAACACCUGUCGGGAUCCCAAGACCUGAUUAAACCACUGCAGUGCCCAUUAAGCUCAAAGAAUAUUAAAAAUCAAAGACUAUCACAGGCUACACUUGGCACUAGACUCACUACGAAUACAGAAGAGAAGCAUAGCAUGUGGGCAGUACAGUGUCAAGUUCCCCUUCUUCAGGAGUCCUUGCUUCAUUAACAUCUCAGCUAGCAUGGUCUCUAUACCUAUCUGAUUUAGAUCUCAUCUCCUUGCACAUGAGCUGUCAGCAUUGGGAUGAAAGCUCCCAGAUAGCUGUGUGGACUGCUGCAAGAUCUACCCAGUUUCAAGAAUCACUGCACUCAAUGAAGCCUACAGCCAUUGUAUCGGCAUCUGGAAACUAGUUCAUUUAUAUUUCCUUCUGGUCUACAUGCAAUUUACUCAGAGAUCAUUUUUUCCAUAGCGGUAUAGCCUACUAAUGUAGUUGAUACUGUAAGGGCUCCAAGAAACAUACCUAAAAAGUUAACUAAAUUCCUAUGCGAGAGGUGAAAAGGUUUUGCUACUAUUUUGCCGACAGACAUGGAUGGUGUUCCUUCCUCUCUAUCUUGAAUUACUUGGCCUCACAGUACUUGAGAACAUUCCAUUUCAGUAAAAAGUUAUUGCAUACCUAAAUAAUCCAGGCAACAUGCUAGGUCAAUGUGACUUACUAAGUUUUGACCUUUGUAUAUUUUCUUCCUAUUUCUUGUAUGUAAUUUCUGCAUGAAAUUUCCCACUUGUUUUCUUUAAUAUAUUAUUCAUUGGAUGAAUAAAAGUUCCCACCAAGAUAAAACAAAUACUCUUUCCUUAUGUAAAAAUAUGUAAGAGAAUGAUGUCAAAGUUUAGUCUUUUUAUUAAAAUAUAGUCUCCAUGAGUAGACUUUGUAUUCUUCAUCAUAUAUUUCCUAGCACAGGCAGCAUUCAAUAAGUAUUUGCUGAUGAACAAAAAAUGGGGCCGGGGGUAGAUGGCAAAUGGAAACCUACUCUGGAAGCAACAUUCAUUCUAAUUCUUUUCCUGAAAAAAAAAAAAAAAACAACAAAAAAAAGUAGCACUUGAAAGUUUUUAAACUAAUCUUCUACCAGAAAUGGAAGUGAAAUUUCAUAGUGAGGUUACCCACCAAACACCACAAGGAGUGAGAGGGCUAGAAGAGAGAAUUCCAGCCAAGCAAGGGCACAAAGGAAAGCAAUUUGGCCAAGCAGUGACAUUUCCUCAUUUGUUUGCCUGAUUAUAUAGAGAAUCAUCUUGGAGAGACUCCAGGAAGUAAAAUACAAAAAGAUUUGGGAACUCUCCCCAGACGUCAAAAAAGAGCAGGCAUCCUCAUCAACAGGCCAUAUACAUGAAGUAGGCCUCUAAUACUAAGAUCUCCUACUUUUCCUUUGGUGUGAGGGAAGGAAAGCUAUGAAAGUGAGGCUCACUCGGGGGCUAACAAUCAUUAAAGAAUACAAAUUACCAAUUUAAACUAGCCUAGACUUUCACUGUAAGUAGGCAAAGACAAUGGAAAAUGACUAGGUGUUAUAAAUGACAAUCAGGAGCUGUAAAGGAGACCAAGCAGUCCUCAAAAAGAGUUAAGUCAAGGCAAGAAAGCACAGAAAACUUUUUAAAAAAUUCUAAUCAACAACCUCAGUGAGAGUUAACAGGGAUUUAAAAGGAUAUUACAUUGACAAAGCAAGAGAAACUGCUACAGAAACAGCAGAUGACAAGAAGAGAAACUAUACAGCAGAAAAAAAAGGAAAAAAAUAGUAGAGAAGCACACUUGGAAAUAAAACACAUAAUAAUGAAAUCAAACUCAACAGUUGAGAACAGCGGAAUCAACAACAAUGUAAACUGAAAUGAUAAACUAAAAAGAGCAUAUUAAAGAAUUUACUGGCCAGGCACAGUGGCUCAUGCUUGUAAUUCCAACACUUUGGGAGGCUGAGGCAGGCGGAUCACCCGAGAUCAGAAGUUCAGGACCAGCCUGACCAAACAUGGAGAAACCCUGUCUCUACUAAAAAUACAAAAUUAGCCGGGUGCAGUGGCGCAUGCCUGUAAUCCCAGCUACUUGGGAGGCUGAGGCAGGAGAAUCGCUUGAACCCGGGAGGUGGAGGUUGCAGGGAGCUGAGAUUGUUGAGAUUGUGCCAUUACACUCCAGCCUGGGCAUCAACAGCAAAACUCC